CCCGAAACGACGUCGUGAAAGCUGGGUUAGACCAGAAUUUUGCAGUGAAGUAGUUGGUAAAAUUGGCGUGGCAGUACUCCGGCGCACCGAGAACGUGCGGCCCUAGAUUGAUCUCCCACAGCUUUGCGACGUCAUCGACGACGAUCAAGUCGGAAUCGAAGUAUAUUAUCCUGCGGACGCCGCCGGGGAGGAGGUCCGCAAGAUAGAUUCUGGCGUAGUUGAGCGGCUGGUCAAGCGCUCUACGAAUCGACGAUGAGAUCUUGCCUUUGACGAGGUUGGUAUCGAAGUGGUACAGAUGAAACGACAGAUAAGGAAAGGUAGUGACGAUGAUCCGCCGCAGCUCCGCUCUCCGAUGACUAGCAAGGAAAUGGAAGACAAUGUUUUCCGGACAAGACGCGU
rnacentral:lncRNA from 1 species